AGAACCUACCUUUUGGUUGAGGGAUACCAACUGGAAACGGUUGCUAAUACUUCGUAUGCUGAGAAGUGAAAGGUGGAAACAUCGCCAAGAGAGGGGCUUGCGUCUGAUUAGCUAGUUGGUAAGGUAAAGGCUUACCAAGGCUAUGAUCAGUAGCUGGUUUGAGAGGACGAUCAGCCACACUGGGACUGAGACACGGCCCAGAUCCCUACGGGGAGCAGCAGUGAGGAAUCUUCCGCAAUGGGCGAAAGCCUGACGGAGCACUAUCGCGUGGAGGAAGACGGCUCGUGAGUUGUAAACUCCUUUUGUCAGAGAAGAAAACUGACGGUAUCUGACGAAUAAGCAUCGGCUAAACUCUGUGCCAGCAGCCGCGGUAAUACAGGGGAUGCAAGCGCUGUCCGGAAUUAUUGGGCGUAAAGCGUUUUGAGGUGGGUCACCAAGUCUGCUGUGAAAGAUCAGGGCUUAACCCUGAAUAUGCGGUGUCACUUGAUAUUUUGUCGAGUGAAUACUUUUGUUUUACAAGAGUAUGAAACUAAUGGCCUUGAGUACGGUAGGGGUAGAGGGAAUUCUCGGAGAAGCGGUGAAAUGCAUAGAUAUCGGGAAGAACACCAACGGCGAAAGCACUCUGCUGGGCCG
rnacentral:rRNA from 1 species